GAGACUUGAAUACAAUUACACACCAUUUCCAUUUUUGGAAAAAGACAAAAAAAAUCCCACUGAAAAAGGUUUCUUCUCCACAAAAACCAUAGGCAUACACCAUAUUCUGAUACACGUUCCAUCAACACAUAAACGCCAAAUAUAGAGAGAUCUGAAGCAUCACAGGAUUCUUUUUUUUUCCUUUAUCUUUUCUUCCCUUCUUAGCGCACACACGACAUACACAAAUCCUUACUCUCUCAACACAUAUAUAGACAUACAUACACACAGAUAUUGGAGAUGAGGGAGCUGGACAGAAAGAAAACUAGACACAGAGAGGCAUUUAAGCAUGAGAGAGGCAAUCAGAGAGAUUGAGAGGUUUGAGAGAGAGAGAGAGAGAGCUCGAUAAUUGAGAGAGAACGGCGAGGAGAGUUCCUUUUCGGCGACCAGAUCUCGUCGAAGCUCCUAAAAAUAGCCAAAAUCGGCGAUCGACCCUAUUGAAACAACAAAAAUUGAUGACCGAACCUGACCCAUUUCUACCCAAUUCCAACGAGAUCCACCAAAAAAUGAGAGAAAAGGUAAAAUGGUUCUAUUUAUUUGUGGUGUUCUAUUCUGAUUGGUUAGUUCGAUAUUUCGAUCGAGUUGGCGUGUUCAUGUUGAGUUCUUUGAGACGAGGUCCUGAGUUCGUUAGCUCUAUUGAAUAAUUUGGGGAUUGAAAUAAAAAUUGAGGUUUGAUUCUUCAACUCUAUCUCUUUUAUUUUUACCUCAAUAUGAUAUGUUGAUGUUGUGAUUUGUAUGAUUUAUUUUGGGUUGAUGAUAUGAUCUUGAUUGUGUGGUUGAGUAAUUCUAAUUUUUUUGAUUGAUUCUAUGUUUGGUUAAUUAACCAGGAAUGAUUUGAACUCAUUUGGAGUAAAUUUUAAUUUGGGGAGACGUAGACGUUGAUAUAUAUGGAUGUGAAUUAAAUUUGAUUCCUUGUUAGUGGUUUGAUUUGAAAUAAACAUUGAUAUUACUAAACAUGAUAGUAUCAUGAUAGGUCGAGUUGGGUAGGCAAAUGGUAGGCUCGGGUAGGCAACUUCAGGACUCGUGAAAUAUUAAAUGCUUGAACUAUGUGUUGAAUGGCUUGGUUUCAUUGCUUUUGAAUUCAAUAUAUCAUUUGGCUGGGAAAUGCCCCGAGGUUUCAUGUAAUUAUUCACCGGAAAAUGCCCUGACGUAUUAUGUCUUCUAAGGAGGUUCGUGAUCAAGGCCCGAGGCAUUGGGUAAAGCAUUAGAGUGUAUUUUAGGAGUAGUUUAGAAUAAUGUAGGUUUAUAUUUUUCUGCAUUUUAUUUUUCUUUUGGACUGUAUAAUUGGACUGGACAUUAUAUUUUGGAUUGUUUUGUCUUGUUUAUGUGAUUGAUUAUUUUUAUGUGUUUUGUGUGGUUUAUACAUUCGUCAUAAAAAAUUAGCCGAUAUAUAAUCCGCGACCGCGGUCAAACCACGGGACCAAGGGGUCACUAACACCUUUCCCUUGGGCAAUAGAAUUCCUUAGCUAGAAUCUCUAUUCGUAAAUCAGUUUUGAAAGAGUCAAAAACCAUUUCAAAAAUGAUUUUCAAAGGUGACUUGGCACACCAGAUUAUGUCAAGCGGCGAAUCUUAAUAAAAAAUAUAAAUAAUCCUUUUUCAAAAUAAAUUUUUAAUAUUUUGUCACUUUACUAAUAAAAACUCUUUCAAACCUUAAAAUAUAAUCUUUUCGGUUGAAAGAGGGGGUGCGACACUCACUUCUACUGCGCCCUUUUGGAGCAGAUCCUGGUUUGAGUAUGCCUCACGAUGAUUGAUUCGAACUACCUUUGGAGCUAUUCGAGGUAAUGUUUGGAUUCCUGCUUCCGGUGUUGACUACUAUCUUUCUUUAUUUAGACUAUGUCUUUAUUCAUAUUCAGAGACAGAGUAUUCCUAUUUUGGAUAUCUUAUAUAUUUGAUCACUAGUUGUACUAGUGAUGUUCUUACAUUGUGACACCAUAUUUUAGGAUUAUGGUAUUAUUAGUUAUGUUCGCAUAGAUUGCAUGUAGCAAAGAUGAAUGAUAUAUACAUAUCUAGCUAUUAUAAUUCCCAAAGCAUGAAAGUAUAAUUUUCUAAUAUAUAGAAAGAGUGGUUUCAACUUGUCAGCUAUUUGACAUUAAAUUAAAAAAUAAGGGUAUUAAGAUCUUUACAGAAAAUUGUAAGCUCAGAUUGAAAAUCAUUUGUGCUUCUUUUUGUGGACCUAUCAAAAGUUCUAAAACAACGUUCACUCUUUUCUCAUUAAUUACAGACAUAGCCAUGUAAGAAAUUUAAGAUAAAUGUCAUCACAUGUGGCUCUUUAGCCUUGCAUUCGUUUCCACAAGUGGGCCCUCUAUCUGUCAUCUAUUUUUUAUUUUUAUUUAUCUUUUUUUUUUUUCUGAAAAGAUAUAAUUAUUCUUUAAAUUGUACUUCUCAUUAUAUUUAGGAUGAAGUUGAGUACCUACGUGCUACUUUUAUUUAGGUUAUAUAAUAUAAAAUUAUUUCAAAUAUAUUAGUUUAAGUAAAUUGAUUAAUAAGAUAAUAAUUUAUUGUAAUAACUACAAUAUGAUAAAUAUAAUUAAAUAUAUUUUAUUCUUUAUUUACAUUUCAUAUCAAACAUAUAGUUUUCUUUCUUCCUUAUUUGUUACAUGAAAUACAAGUUUGACUAAUUUAAAUUUUUAAUAUAUAAUUAAUAAAGCUAAUUUAGUAAAAUAAAAUUUUAAUAUAAGGUUGAGCAUAAUUCUUUAUACCAACAAAAAGAAACUAAAGAAAAAUACCUAACAAGAUUUUACUUAUAUAAGGUUGAACAUAAUUCUUAACUAAAUAAUAAUAAUUAUUUAUUUUUAUAUAUGCAAGUCAUAUUAUCCGUAUUGGAUUAAGCAUACUAUUCCUACGAGUUGAUGAAUUUUUUAAUUAAAACUUUGAGCAUAAUUACUUGUUGGAUUGUAGUGAUUUUAAUCGCCUCAAACUCAAAGAAAAAGUUUUAAUAUUUUAUUUUUAAUAAACUUAAUAUAUAAAAUGUAUUUUACUCAUAUAAGUAUUUGAUUAAUUCAAUAGUUUCUCAAUUUAUCUAAAACCUACCAAAUUAUGAUUUUAACUAAAUGAACCUAAUAAUUAGUGUUUCUUUGAUUUUUAAAAUAAAUCAAAAUUUCUAUAUCAUCCUUGAAUAAUUAUUAUUAUUAUAAUACAUUUAUAUAUUAAAAAAUUAAUAAUAUUUAAUUAAAAAAUAAAUAGAUAUUUAUGGCAUGUCUGCUUCAAUUGUAAUUUUUACUAUAUCAUCUCUAAUAUUUAUUUUAAAUUAUUUAUAUAUUAAAAAAUUAAUAAUAUUUAAUUAAAAAAUAAAUAGAUAUUUAUGGCAUGUCUGCUUCAAUUGUAAUUUUUACUAUAUCAUCUCUAAUAGUUAUUAUAAAUUAUUUAUAUAUUAAAAAUUUAAUAAUAUUCAAUCCGUGAUUUUAUUAUAUCACCCCUCAUUAAUUAUUAUAAGUCAUUAAUGUAUUAAAAAUUUAGUAAUAUUUAAUUAAAAAAACUAAAAUAAACAUUUAUGACAUAUCUGUUUCAACUGUUUCAAUCGUGAUUUUACUAAAUCACCCCUAAGUAAUUAUUAUAAGUCAUUUAUGUAUUAAAAAAUUAAUAAUAUUUAAUUAUAUCCCAUGAUUCCUUUAUAUAAGAACAAGGGUGACAUCCAGAGUUGUACCAACUUAGGGGUAUUAAGCUAUUGAGUCACACAAUGAAGAUUUGGGAGAGAGUAUUCGAGCCACAAGUAGAGAUCGACACCUUAUAUACUACCGGAGUAUAAAUAACUUUCAACAUUUGCCAAUCCUAGUGUGAGGUUUAUAAAGGUAAGAAUUCUUACGAUGUGGUGAUGAGAUUUUACUACUAAUCUUGUUUGUUCAUUUUAUAGGCACAAGGAAUUAUAAGGAAGUAUGACUUCAGUAGCCUUGGAUACAUAUGACUACGACAUAGGACACUAUGGUUGUAGUGAAGAAAGUUAUGACUAUGAUGAAGAUAGAGACUAUAGGGGC
rnacentral:lncRNA from 1 species